AUUCGAAUGCUUAGCUAUAAAGAAAUUCUGUUCUUCUACAACAACACGAAUAUCCAAUAAAUGUACUUUAUGCAAACAUCAGUUACUCAUUCACUCGCAGAAAGAAAGAUACAAAAAUUAAAUAUAAACCCUGAAACGGUUCUCUCCCGUUAAGGAGAAUAUUCGCCCUGUUUGUCAUCUCAUUGUACUCAUUCAUUCUCUCUCUCUCACUCAUGCUCUUUCUCUCCGUCUUUUCAAGAAAGUUGCUGGUUAAAAGUUUCAAUACAAUAAAUGAUAUCAUCUUCAUCUUUUCUCAUCUGCUCUCCAUGCUCCCAUACACUAGGUGGGUCAUCACUGUCCAAGUCAGUUGUAUCUGAAAUUACUGUCAACCGUCAUUUGUUGAGGAAAACAUUGCAGCUUUUCUAAGGUGGUAGACCCUUUCUAACCCCAACCACUUUAUAAAGGGUCGUGGGUAUAUUUUAUUGUCGCACAAGCAUUAGAAAUGAUCAUCAAUUUCCCAACAAUAUCAAACGUUCCUUUCAAACUUGUGGUGUCAUCUUUCCUAGUUUCCACCAACCACUUCCUAGUGUGUUCUGGGAGCAUUUAAUUAUAGCACAAGUAGUAAUCAAGUUGUGUUACAUUCUAUAUAAUUAGACGGUCCUCACUACUCUAUGAUGUUUUGCUUCACUGAAGCUGAUGACAUUUUCAGGAGGUGAGAAGGGAAUGUGAUGACAAAAGAAUCAGGAUGCGGGGAGAGAAAUUUGCAAUACUCCCUCUCCUGGCUGUGGGGUCUCUGUCUUACAUGUCUGUUGGCUAAAUAUGCCAGUACUUGUGCUUUACACAAAGGGGCCACGUACACUCUGUGAGGUGGUUGGCAUCAAUAAGAACAUCCUACCGUAGAAAACCAUGCCAAAGAAACCAUCUGGGGCCUGGUGAAGUUGUCUGGCUUGUCAGAUCCUGUCAAGAUUUCCAACCCAUUCCAGCAUGGAAAACAAACUUUGAAUGUUGAUGAUGAUGAUGAUGACGAUGCUGUCUUCCAGUAACUCAUCAUAAUUCUUAUAUAUAUAUAAUUAUCGCUUGUUACGAUGUUUGAAUAACGUUUACUGUCCAUAUAGACAUCGUUAUACUGACAAUUGUUGGCUUUGAGAUGGUUUCAAUUGUAACAGAGGCACUGUUUUCAGUCUUCCACAUUUUGGUUUUACUUCCGACUUGAUUGUUCUGUUGAAAUUAGAUCAUGGAACCUGGUCAUUGUUAUUUGACCAAGAAAAGAAUUCAUCAUUAGUAUUCGGUACUGGAAAUGGUUACAUUUUUCUAUGGUUUCUCAUGGAACUACCAUAAUAUCAACUGUGCUGAGACACAACCAUAUUAAUUGUAACAAAUGUCACAUGUUCUUCACACAGAUUUUAUACAAUCUAUAUUGAUAGUUAGUGUUUAUACGCCGCAUUAACAUGAUAAUUAAUCAGCUAUCAUUCAUUAACUCUCUUAAACUUGUCUUUGUGAAUGUUUCAUAGCAUUAUCUUGUACCCUCAUCUGAUAUUUUACACCUUGUUACCCUCAAAGUUAACAUAACUUUUACAUGGGUACACAACCACAUCCCUACGAACUAGUUUUUACAGCUGUAUGCCCUUCCCACAAUAAUAAAGUGUUGAUUAUCAAUAACUAUAAUGAAAUUAUACUAUAAAACGUAAAACUUGAAAAUAUUCAUUUCAAAGACUCCAACUUCUGUGAAGGAUGCCUUGACAACAUCACAGCCAGUUGAGAGUCCAGUUCUGAAGGAGAGGGAUCUUCUGAGAGUGGCUAAGAGGUUAGGACGUGAUUGGUGGCAAAUAGCGAUUUUUUUAGAAGUUGAUACAACUGAACUGAAAAUUGAUGAUGAGUCUAUUGACACUGUAAAACAAGGCUACCUGAUGCUUAAGGAAUGGUUCAAAAAUUGCGACCCAGAAACACGGACACACGCAACAUUACGUGCAGCUCUUGAAGAAGCUGAAUGUUUCGCUGCGAUGGAAUGUCUGUCAUUAGACGCAAAGUGAAUUUCUGUGUAACUGUUGUUGUUUAGCCUCAGAUUAACCUUGACCAAACAGAGACUUAUGAUCAAACGCAUUCCAGUCAGGACCAUCAUGCCUAUUUCCAAAGAGAACCCACAACCACAUUGUCCAAUAUGCCCUUCUGUACAGUGAUAUCGUGUGAAUUUAGCUGCUAAUUCUAGCAGGUAUAUCAGCCACAUAGUGAUCCCUUCACUGGUUUGGCUCCUUUGUUAAAAAUUCACAUUUAAAAUAAAGACAAACUUUGAAAUGUUCA